GGGGAUGUGGCUCAGUGGUAGAGCACUUGCCUCACAUGCAGGAAGCCCUGGGUUCAAUUCCUCAGUACCA
rnacentral:tRNA from 1 species